rnacentral:rRNA from 1 species
AACGAACGCUGGCGGCGUGCCUAACACAUGCAAGUCGAACGGAGAUAAGGGGCUUGCUCCUUAUUUUAGUGGCGCACGGGUGAGUAACGCGUGGAUAAUCUGCCUGAUGCUCUGGGAUAACAUCUCGAAAGGGGUGCUAAUACCGGAUAAGCCCACGGGGUCUUAGGAUCUUGCGGGAAAAGGAGGGGACCUUAGGGCCUUCCGACAUCAGAUGAGUCCGCGUCCCAUUAGCUAGUUGGUGGGGUAAAGGCCUACCAAGGCGACGAUGGGUAGCUGGUCUGAGAGGAUGAUCAGCCACACUGGAACUGAGACACGGUCCAGACUCCUACGGGAGGCAGCAGUGGGGAAUUUUGCGCAAUGGGGGAAACCCUGACGCAGCAACGCCGCGUGAGUGAUGACGCUUCUUGGAGUGUAAAACCCUGUCAGUGGGGACGAAACGCAUGGAGAGUAACUGCUCGAUGCCUGACGGUACCCACAGAGGAAGUCCCGGCUAACUCCGUGCCAGCAGCCGCCGUAACAC